AUUGAACGCUGGCGGCAGGCCUAACACAUGCAAGUCGAACGAGUGGCGGACGGGUGAGUAAUGUCUGGGAAACUGCCUGCUAGAGGGGGAUAACUACUGGAAACGGUAGCUAAUACCGCAUACCAUCAGAUGUGCCCAGAUGGGAUUAGCUUGUUGGUGGGGUAACGGCUCACCAAGGCGACGAUCCCUAGCUGGUCUGAGAGGAGGACCAGCAAGACGGGAACUGAGACACGGUCCAGACUCCGACGUGAGGCAGCAGUGGGGAAUAUUGCACAAGGGGGGAAAGCCUGAUACAGCCAUGCCGCGGGUAUGAAGAAGGCCUGCGGGUUGUAAAGUACUUUCAGCGGGGAGGCGUUACCCGCAGAAGAAGCACCGGCUAACUCCGUGCCAGCAGCCGCGGUAAUUC
rnacentral:rRNA from 1 species